AUUUAGAGCUUUAAGAAGAAACAAUGUCAAAAAAUGCUUUUUUAGACCUGUCAAUCAUUUUUAAAAAUUGUUCCCUGUUGAUCACUACUGUUCGCCAGUGUUUUUUUGGUGUAAAAUUGAUAAAACUAAUUAUUAUCGACCAUUUCAGAUACACUAAUGAUGGCAAAAUGCCAAAAAUCUUAAGACAACAGUAGAAAUCUGGGAAAAGGUUGAUUAAUAAAAAAUACUGAAAAAUUGAGAGCUUUAAGAAGAAACGAAGCCAAAAAAUGCUUUUUUAGACCUGACAAUCAUUUUUAAAAAGUGUUCUUUGUUUGGUCACUACUGUUCGCCAGUGUUUCUGGGUGUAAGAUUGAUAAAACUGAUUAUUACCGACAUUUAAGAAUCACUGAGGAUGGCAAAAUCACGAAAAUCUUAAGACAACAGUAGGAAAUAUGACGAAAGGUUGAUUAAUUAAAAUGUCCUUAAAUUAAGUGCAGAUAAAUUGAGAGCUUUAAGAAGAAACGAAGCCAAAAAAUGCUUUUUUAGACCUGACAAUCAUUUUUAAAAAGUGUUCUUUGUUUAGUCACUACUGUUCGCCAGUGUUUCUGGGUGCAAGAUUAAUAAAACUGAUUAUUAUCGACCAUUUGAGAUUCACUGAGGAUGGCAAAAUGCCGAAAAUCUUAAGGCAACAGUAGGAAAUCUGACGAAAGUACUGAAAAAUUGAAAGCUUUAAGAAGAAACGAAGUCAAAAAAUGCUUUUUUAGACCUGUCAAUCAUUUUUAAAAAUUGUUCCCUGUUGAUCACUACUGUUCGCCAGUAUUUUUGGGUGCAAAAUUGAUAAAACUGAUUAUUAUCGACCAUUUGAGAUACACUGAGGAUGGCAAAAUGCCGAAAAUCGUAAGGCAACAGUAGGAAAUCUGACGAAAGGUUGAUU